CGACCGCAAGGAGGACUCCGCCCGGACUCCUAUGGGAGCCGGGCUCCAUCACCAACUUCAACCGCUCGGACUCCUACGGGAGUCGGGCUCCAUCCACGACUUCGAUCGCAAGGAGGACUCCGCCCGGACUCCUACGGGAGCCGGGCUCCGUCACCAACUUCAACCGCUGGUAAGCUCCGUCCAGACUCCUACGGGAGCUGGGCUCCGCACCUGACUUUAAUUACAGGAAGACUCCGCUCAGACUCC
rnacentral:lncRNA from 1 species